rnacentral:tRNA from 1 species
GGGCCCGUAGCUCAGCAUGGUAGAGCGGCGGUCCUGGUUAAUCGGGAGGCCGAGGCUUUUAACCUAUGGGGAAGACACCCGUAGGCCGUGGGUUCAAAUCCCACCGGGCCCG